rnacentral:tRNA from 2 species
GCCGGUCUAGUAUAGUGGUCAGUACGUCUCUUUGUGGCAGAGAUGACCCAGGUUCGAUUCCUGGGACCGGCA